rnacentral:rRNA from 1 species
GGUUAAGUUAAAAAGGGCGCAUGGUGAAUGCCUUGGCACUAGAAGCCGAUGAAGGACGGGACUAACACCGAUAUGCUUCGGGGAGCUGUACGUAAGCUUUGAUCCGGAGAUUUCCGAAUGGGGAAACCCAGCAGCUUUAAUCAGCUGUUACUAUAUAGUGAAUUCAUAGCUAUAUAGAGGUAGACGUGGGGAACUGAAACAUCUCAGUACCCACAGGAGCAGAAAGAAAUUUCGAUUCCCUAAGUAGCGGCGAGCGAACGGGGAACAGCCCAAACCAACGAGCUUGCUCGUUGGGGUUGUAGGACUGAACAUUUGAGUUACCAAAGUUGUUGAUAAUCGAACAAUCUGGGAAGGUUGGCGAAACAGGGUGAUAGCCCCGUAGGUGAAAUCAAUGACCCUCAGUUCAGGAUCCUGAGUACGGCGACACACGUGAAACGUCGUCGGAAUCCGGGAGGACCAUCUCCCAAGGCUAAAUACUCUCUAGUGACCGAUAGUGAACCAGUACCGUGAGGGAAAGGUGAAAAGCACCCCGGAAGGGGAGUGAAAUAGUUCCUGAAACCAUGUGCCUACAAGCAGUUAGAGCCCGUUAAUGGGUGAUAGCGUGCCUCUUGUAGAAUGAACCGGCGAGUUACGGUAACAUGCAAGGUUAAGGUUUAAAAGCCGGAGCCGCAGCGAAAGCGAGUCUGAAAUGGGCGUUUGAGUAUGUUGCUGUAGACCCGAAACCAGGUGAUCUACCCAUGUCCAGGCUGAAGGUGCGGUAAAACGCACUGGAGGGCCGAACCCGUGUACGUUGAAAAGUGCUGGGAUGAGGUGUGGGUAGCGGUGAAAUUCCAAACGAACUUGGAGAUAGCUGGUUCUCUCCGAAAUAGCUUUAGGGCUAGCCUCGGACGUAGAAUCAUGGAGGUAGAGCCACUGUUUGGAUGAGGGGCCCGUCAUGGGUUACUAAGUUCAGAUAAACUCCGAAUACCAUUGAUUUUUAUCCGGGAGUCAGACGGUGAGUGAUAAGAUCCAUCGUCAAAAGGGGAACAGCCCAGACCACCAGUUAAGGUCCCUAAAUAUAUGCUAAGUGGAAAAGGAUGUGGAGUUGCAUAGACAACUAGGAUGUUGGCUCAGAAGCAGCCAUCAUUUAAAGAGUGCGUAAUAGCUCACUAGUCGAGUGAUUCCGCGCCGAAAAUUUACCGGGGCUAAGCAUAUUACCGAGACUGUGGACUUGACCUUUGGUCAAGUGAUAGGAGAGCGUUCUAAGGGCAAUGAAGCCAGACCGUAAGGACUGGUGGAGCGCUUAGAAGUGAGAAUGCCGGUAUGAGUAGCGAAAGAUCAGUGAGAAUCUGAUCCACCGAAUGACUAAGGUUUCCUGGGGAAGGCUCGUCCUCCCAGGGUUAGUCGGGACCUAAGCCGAGGCCGAAAGGCGUAGGCGAUGGAUAACAGGUUGAGAUUCCUGUACUAGUUGAUGAUGUUUGAGCGAUGGAGGGACGCAGGAGGCUAAGUUGUGCAUCCAGUUGGAAAGGGAUGUUCAAGCCACGAGUCAGUCAAGGAGUUAAAUGCUUUUUGGCGGGUUGACAAGUGGUGAUGAGGACCGAAAUUUAGUAGGGAAGCAACUGACGUCACACUGCCGAGAAAAGCUUCUAGUGAGUCAUCAACUACCCGUACCGCAAACCGACACAGGUAGUCGAGGAGAGAAUCCUCAGGUGAGCGAGAGAACUCUCGUUAAGGAACUCGGCAAAAUGACCCCGUAACUUCGGGAGAAGGGGUGCUGAGCGUAAGCUCAGCCGCAGUGAAAAGGCCCAGGCGACUGUUUAUCAAAAACACAGGUUUCUGCAAAAUCGUAAGAUGACGUAUAGGGGCUGACGCCUGCCCGGUGCUGGAAGGUUAAGAGGAUGGGUUAGCUUCGGCGAAGCUCAGAAUUGAAGCCCCAGUAAACGGCGGCCGUAACUAUAACGGUCCUAAGGUAGCGAAAUUCCUUGUCGGGUAAGUUCCGACCCGCACGAAAGGCGUAACGAUCUGGGCACUGUCUCGACGAGAGACUCGGUGAAAUUAUAAUACCCGUGAAGAUGCGGGUUACCCGCGACAGGACGGAAAGACCCCAUGGAGCUUUACUGUAGCUUGAUAUUGGGUGUUUGUACAACUUGUACAGGAUAGGUAGGAGCCAUAGAAGCCGGAACGCUAGUUUCGGCAGAGGCAUUGGUGGGAUACUACCCUCGUUGUAUGAACACUCUAACCCUCGCCAAUAAACUUGGCGGGAGACAGUGUCAGGUGGGCAGUUUGACUGGGGCGGUCGCCUCCUAAAAGGUAACGGAGGCGCCCAAAGGUUCCCUCAGAAUGGUUGGAAAUCAUUCGCAGAGUGUAAAGGCACAAGGGAGCUUGACUGCGAGACAGACAAGUCGAGCAGGGACGAAAGUCGGGCUUAGUGAUCCGGUGGUUCCGAAUGGAAGGGCCAUCGCUCAACGGAUAAAAGCUACCCUGGGGAUAACAGGCUUAUCUCCCCCAAGAGUCCACAUCGACGGGGAGGUUUGGCACCUCGAUGUCGGCUCAUCGCAUCCUGGGGCUGUAGUCGGUCCCAAGGGUUGGGCUGUUCGCCCAUUAAAGCGGUACGCGAGCUGGGUUCAGAACGUCGUGAGACAGUUCGGUCCCUAUCCGUCGCGGGCGUAGGAAAUUUGAGAGGAGCUGUCCUUAGUACGAGAGGACCGGGAUGGACAUACCGCUGGUGUACCAGUUGCGCCGCCAGGCGCACCGCUGGGUAGCUACGUAUGGAUGAGAUAAACGCUGAAAGCAUCUAAGUGUGAAACUCACCUCAAGAUGAGAUUUCCCAUUCCUAUAUGGAAGUAAGACCCCUGAGAGAUGAUCAGGUAGAUAGGUUGGAAGUGGAAGUGCAGUGAUGUACGGAGCGGACCAAUACUAAUCGGUCGAGGACUUAACCAA